ensembl:lncRNA
AUGGAAUCGGACCAGUUUAGAAAGCUUCCUGGAGAAGGAGCUGCCACUAUUCCCUGUGACUCCUGUGAACAGAAAGGAAUUAUCCUAAGGCAAACCUCAGCCCUAUGCCUGGCAAUCCUGAACCCCUUUGAGUUCUUCCUUUCUGCAGGAGCAAUGGACAAAGAACUGCCCACUGGACACAGGGGAUCCACACUGGCUUUGCCUGCAGUGCAUGAAGGGACUCCCUGGCCUUCAUGGGAGGGUGGAGGAGGGAGAGAAGCAAGCCCCAACCUCAAGGUCAGCGGGGAGGCACAGGCAGCCUCUGGCUUGCUGAGAGAUGCCCGCUGUGGAAAGCGCUCUGGGUGAGGGUGAUUACAAAAGCCCAGCUCUUCCUGCUCACUGAACACGAUGCCCUGCACGUGUGGAAUUAUCAAGGAAGCCUGGCAUCAGGAGCCCAAUGCAGCCCUGGUGAGGAAAGGGCUACGGGAGAGGGAACAUUCUAGAAGCCAAGGACUUUGGCAGCAGCUCCGGGGGAGGGGAAGUGAGGAUGUCUUCUGUUCCCAGGGACGGCUUCCCUGUUGUGCUGCUGGCCUCCGCUCAUACUUUGCUCCCCUGCUCUUUGGAAGCUGAACAGUCCCCUUUUACAGAGUGUGGACACACGAGCUUUGUGGAACUGCCUGGCAGUGCGUCCUGCAGGUACAAGGAGCCACUGUUCUUGCCUCUCAACCACACUUGACCUUCGACACUGGAAUUUUCAAGUAAUGAAGUGAAAUCAUUUUGAGUAGCUUCGUGGGCCAUAGUUUGAAGAUGGUUUCUCAGUCUCAUGUUGGAGCUUAAAUUUUAAUUUAUUUAUUUUUAUUUAGCUGUUGGCAGAGAGAAGAGACACACAGACACGUAGAUAGAGUAAGAGCAUGAGGGACAAAGAUGUCACAUCUGCCAGUUCAUUCCUCAAAUGCCUUCAAUAGCCAGAUUAGGAGACCAGAGCCUAAUCCAGGUCUCCAGUGUCGUAGGCAGGGAUCCAAAUACAUGAGCCACCAUGUGCUGUCACCCAGACUGCACAUUGGUAGGAAGCUGGAAUUGGGAGCAUCAGUGGAGCUGGGACUUGAACCCAAGCACUAUGGCAGCUUGACUGCCAGGUCAACCCCCCACCCCUCAUGUUGGAGUUUAAUCCUCAGUGUGAGGUCUUAAGGGGACAGAAACUUAAUCUGACCAUAGUAUUCAGAGUUGGGGCCUCUGGGAGAAAGGACAAGAUCAUGAGGUGGAGCCUCCAUGAUUGAAUACUGGUGACUUCAAAAGAAGAAAGAAGGGGCUGGCGCUACGGCAUAGCAGGUGAAGCCCCCCCUGCAGUGCCGGCAUCUCAUGUGGGCACUGGUUUGAGCCCAGCUGUUCCACUUCCGAUCCAGCUCUCUGCUGUGGCCUGGGAAAGCAGUAGAAGAUGGCCCAAGUCCUUGGGCCCUUGCACCUGCUUGGGAGACUAAGAAGAGGCUCCUGGCUCCUGACUUUGGGUUGGCACAGCUCCAGUUGUUGUGGCCAUCAGGGGAGUGAACCAGAGGAUGGAAGACCUCUCUCUCUCCGUCUCUGCCUUUCUGUAACUCUGACUUUCAAAUAAAUAAAUAAAUCUAAAAAAAAGAAAGAAAUCA